UACGGAGGAUGCGAGCGUUAUCCGGAUUUAUUGGGUUUAAAGGGUGCGCAGGCGGAUUUUUAAGUCAGCGGUCAAAUCGUGGGGCUCAACCCCAUCCAGCCGUUGAAACUGGGGAUCUAGAGUGUGCGAGAGGUAUGCGGAAUGCGUGGUGUAGCGGUGAAAUGCAUAGAUAUCACGCAGAACCCCGAUUGCGAAGGCAGCAUACCGGCGCCCUACUGACGCUGAGGCACGAAAGCGUGGGUAUCGAACAGG
rnacentral:rRNA from 1 species